GGUGUUGUGGCUCAGUGGUAGAGCGCUCACCUAACAUGCGUGGGGCACUGGGUUAGAUCCUCAGCACCA
rnacentral:tRNA from 1 species